rnacentral:tRNA from 1 species
GGCCCGGUGGUCAAGAGGUUAAGACACCGCCCUUUCACGGCGGUAACACGGGUUCGAAUCCCGUCCGGGUCACCA